CCUACGGGAGGCAGCAGUGGGGAAUAUUGGGCAAUGGGCGAAAGCCUGAACCAGCAACGCAGCGUGAAGGAUGAAGGCCCUCCGGUUGUAAACCUCCUUUUACAGGGAAGUGCAGAAGACGGUGCCUGCCGAUUAAGUUAUGGCUAACGACGUGCCAGCAGCCGCCGUCAUACGUAGGUGGCCAGCGUUUCCCGGAUUCAGUGGGUGUAACGGGUGUGUUGGGGGGCUGGGAAGUCAGAUGUGAAAGUCGGGGGCUCAACCGCCGAACUGCAAUUGAAACUGGUAGUCUUGAGUAUAGGUGAGGCAGGCGGAAUUCGUGGUGUAGCGGUGAAAUGCGUAGAUAUUAGGAGGAACACCGGUGGCGAAGGCGGCCUGCUAGACGACCACUGACGGUGAGGCGCGAAAGCGUGGGGAGCAAACAGGAUUAGAUACCCUAGUAGUC
rnacentral:rRNA from 1 species